UACAUGGGGUGCAAACGUUGCUCGGAAUCAUUGGGCGUAACGCGCGCGUAGGCGGUUACACAAGUUGGAUGUGAACGCCCUCGGCUUAACUGAGGAAGUGCAUCCAAAACUGUGCAGCUAGAGUACUAAAGAGGGUCGCGGAAUUCCCGGUGUAGAGGUGAAAGUCGUAGAUAUCGGGAGGAACACCGGUGGCGAAGGCGGCGACCUGGGUAGAUACUGACGCUGAGGCGCGAAAGCGUGGGGAGCAAACAGG
rnacentral:rRNA from 1 species